rnacentral:rRNA from 1 species
AAACGUAGGACGCGAGCGUUAUCCGGAUUUACUGGGCGUAAAGCGCGUGCAGGCGGUCUGUUAAGUCGUGCGUGAAAGCUCCCUGGCUCAACCGGGAGAGGUCGUACGAAACUGGCAGGCUUGAGGGCAGCAGAGGAGUGUGGAAUUCCGGGUGUAGUGGUGAAAUGCGUAGAUAUCCGGAGGAACACCAGUGGCGAAGGCGACACUCUGGGCUGUACCUGACGCUAAGACGCGAAAGCAUGGGUAGCGAACGGGAUUAGAAACCCCGGUAGUCCAUGCCGUAAACGAUGUGCACUAGGCGUAGGGGGGUCACACCCGCUGUGCCGAAGCUAACGCGAUAAGUGCACCGCCUGGGGACUACGGCCGCAAGGCUAAA